UGGAUUAGGCAUGCAAGUCGUACGUGAUCCUCGCUUCGGUGAGGUGAAAGUGGCGAACGGGUGAGUAAUGCAUAGCCAACCUACCCUUGGCACGGGGAUAACCAGGAGAAAUCUUGGCUAAUACCCGAUAGGCUCGCGGGGGCGCAUGGCCCUGCGAGUAAAGGAGGCCUCUUAGCAAUGCUUCUGGCCGAGGACGGGACUAUGUCCUAUCAGCUAGUUGGUAGGGUAACGGCCUACCAAGGCGAUGACGGGUAGCCGACCUGAGAGGGUGACCGGCCACACUGGGACUGAGACACUGCCCAGACUCCUACGGGAGGCUGCAGUCGAGAAUCUUCCGCAAUGGGGGCAACCCUGACGGAGCGACGCCGCGUGCGGGAUGAAGGCCUUCGGGUUGUAAACCGCUGUCACGCAUUAAGAAGGGUCCGGGGUUAACAGCGCUGGGCCUUGACGAAGGUGCGGGAGGAAGCCACGGCUAACUCUGUGCCAGCAGCCGCGGUAAGACAGAGGUGGCGACCGUUGUUCGGAAUCACUGGGCAUAAAGCGCGCGUAGGCGGCAUAGUAAGUCGGGUGUGAAAUCCCUCGGCCCAACCGAGGAACUGCGCUCGAAACUACUUUGCUUGAGGGCAGGAGGGGAGCCUGGAAUUCCUGGUGGAGCGGUGAAAUGCGUUGAUAUCAGGAGGAACAUCGGCGGCGAAGGCGAGGCUCUGGCCUGUUUCUGACGCUGAGGUGCGAAAGCUAGGGGAGUAAACGGGAUUAGAUACUUCGGUAGUCCUAGCUGUAAACGAUGGGCACUAAGUAGAGGGGUUUU
rnacentral:rRNA from 1 species